rnacentral:rRNA from 1 species
UACGGGGGGGGCAAGCGUUGUUCGGAAUUACUGGGCUUAAAGGGUGCGUAGGCGGAUACACAAGUGCCUUGUGAAAUCCCCCGGGCUCAACCCGGGAACUGCUUGGUAGACUGUGUGUCUUGAGGUCGGUAGGGGUCGCUGGAACAGUUGGUGGAGCGGUGAAAUGCGUAGAUAAUCAACUGGAACGCCAAAGGCGAAGGCAAGCGACUGGGCCGAGUUCUGACGCUGAGGCACGGAAAAGCGAUGGG